AUAGUGGAGGUGCUUGACAUAACGGUAACUCGCUCAUGCGUGUCUCCUGCUCCAUGCCGGUUAUCACCUGCACAUUCUCUCGCCCUCUCCAGCGCCCUCAUUUUUGCCCUUUCCCUCUUUUCAUCCGGCGCGCUUUCUGCGGUGUGCGCGUGUGUGCCUGCGCUGCUCCGACCGCGACCGCACGCGCCCCGUCGCUAUCGCGUCCCUCAACAGUGCUUCCUCUCGCCGCUGAGCGAUUUGUUCGCCCUUACCACGCCGGCAAGUGGUCAAAAUCGUUUUGGUCAAAUUGAUCGUUGCCUGAAAGCACUCGCGCAUGUGCAUGGGUGUGUUCGUCAACACCGACGCAAAGACACGCAUGCGCGCCUAUUCGCUAGAGUAGACCGCUUACAUACAUUCACGCAUACAUCCACAUACACGCCUCCUUAACACGCGCCGCAUAUGAUGCCUGGGAAAGACGCCUUCAUAAUACCCUUGCAGGAUGCUGAUCCGAGUUUGCUCGGUUCUCCUGCCGAUCGAUCUUCCGUGAAUGGCGGCUCGGCGACCACGCAAACGCAGCGCGGCAGCCCGUCUCGCCAGGGAGCUGCUAUGGGAGGCUUACACCUGCAGGCGUCGCAGCACUGUGGUGCCCAUGACGGUUACGCAGAUCCCUUGGCAGCGGCAGCGCUGCCGCCGCCGCCGACCCAGACCCUCUCGACGUCGCUCGGGGCGGCCGGCCAGCCCUACGUUAGCGAGGCCAGUCUAGAUUUCCAGCGAAGACUCCUGCAACAGCAGGUGCAGCAGGUGCAUCGCGAGACGGAGCGACUCAAGGCAGAGCUGCAGGAGACCAACGCCCGCCUUGUCGACACGCGCCAGCAGCUCAAUGAGCAGAAGGCCGCGUACACGUCUCUCACUCACCGCUACAGCACAACAGUGGAGAAGCUGACCUCUACCGAGAGCGACGUCAAGACUUUGGAGGAGCACCUGGUCAAGGAGCGUAACCAGCGCCAUCAGGUGCAGAAGGAGCGGGAAGAGCAGCGGCUGGCGCUGCGGGAGGCGGAGUGGGCCCAGGAGCGCCUGCAGCGCCGCCUCCAGCAGCUCGAGGCAAGCAAGGGGCUGGACCCGAAGGAGGUGCAGCUGCGACUGGAAGACCGGUCCCACUUCAUUCCCACUGUCGAGGUGCGCCGAAUACAGACCGAGAUGCACGAUACCCAUCAGGCCCUCGUCGAUCGGCUGCUGACGUCGCUGGAGUCCUUGGCAGCGUCUAGCGAAGAGUCGCAGACAAACUUCUUCGUGGCGCGCAGCUCCGUGCUUUCGGCUGCCACGGAUGUCGACGCUCGACUAAAGCGUGCCGAGGCAGCUCUCGACGAUGUGGACAAGCAAUGGACGGACUACCGCGACGGUGUCGAGCGUGAGACACACGAGUUCCUGCUGGCGGUCAUGUCCGAGAACAAGGACCUCUGGCAGCAGCUCACGCUGCUGCAGAACGAGCACGCUGUUGUCUUGUCUGAGAUGAAGCUGCGUUCCACACAGGGUGGGUCGGUGCCGAUGGAGGAGCACGCCUACGUGCAGCGGCAGCUGGAGACGAUGACGGAGCGGCUUGGCAAGGCGCAGCAGCUGGUCGAGUCCCAGACGGUGCUGGCACGCGCGCACGAGGCGGAGAUGACGGAGCUCUUGGAGGCCAACGGCUCUAUGCAGCGGCAGCUGGAAGAGCUGGAGCGACAGUGCACGCAGCAUGAGCAGGUGAGCAGCCGGAAGACAAGUGCUCUGGCCGAGGCAGACGCCGCACUGCGCGAUGCCGCGUCGCAGAUAGAAGAACUUCACAACACCUUGCGCGAGGAGCGGCUGCGCGCUGAGGCUGUGGUAGCGGAGAUGAAGGCGACACAGCGGACGAUGCAGGACGAGUACGAUGCCCGCGUACGUGAGCUCGAGCACGACUGCGAGGUGGCAGAUGACACAGCGACAACGCUGCAGCACAGGUUGGAGGAGACGGCCGCGAAGCUGGACGUUGCGGACCGCAAUCUGCAGGCACGGAGUAAGGAAUACGAGGCCUACAAGGUGCAAACUGCUGCCGAACAGGCGGCGGCCAUGGGACGCCAUCGCGACGACCUGCAGCGGGUGCGGGCGGUGAUGGAGGAGGAGCUGGCAUCGUUGCGGGCCCAACUAGGCGAGGCGGAGGAGGCAGCCCGGGCUGCGGUGCGAGAGAGCGAGGAGACGGCAGCGCGCGAGAGUGCUACCCUGGCCGAGCAUCGCACCGCUCAGAGAGAUCUGACGCACAUGCAGGAAGAACUGGAGCGGCUGCGCGGUCAAUACAAGGAGGUGGUGGAGCAGCGGCAGCGCGCCCAGGUGGAGGCGGAUCAGCUCCGCGCUGCUUCUGGCGAGGGCAGCACUCUCGCGCAGGAGCUUCAGAGGCGCUGUGACGUACUCGAUAAGGAAAAAGCGGAGCUGGCCACGGCGCUGGCGAACGAAAAGUCGAGUCAGGAGCGGCGCUAUGCGACUCUGCACGCGGACUGGAAGGCCGCUGAGAAGGCGCGGGCCUUGAUACAAGAGGAAGUGAAGACGCUGCGCUCCCGCUGCGCCGAGGUGGAGAAAGCUCGCAUGGCCGAGGAUCGUCAGACGCAGGACAAGGAGCAGCUGAUGCGCGAGAACAUCCGCUUGCACGAGCAAUAUCAGCUAAUCCAGAAGGAGUGCACGGGGCUGCGCGAGGAGGUGAAGGCGCUCAAGCAGCGCGCUGUUGGCGAUGCGCAGUGGCACAGACAGAUGGAGGAUCUUCAGCGACGUCUACGGGAGCUGCCGGAGCUACGCCAGGCUGCUGAAGCAGCUCGCCGUGACGCCCUAAAGGCGAAGGAGGAGACUGAGCUGCUGCGUCGCGAGCGGGAUCAGUUAUCGAAAAAGCUCGAUGCCUUUCUCGAAGACGCGAAGCUGCAGGCGCGGCGCGAGGACGACUUUGAGCGGGUGUGUCGGGAGGCCAGCGCUGCGGCGCAGCGCAUUGGUGGCCAAGUGUCCUCAGCCAAAGAGAAUAGCGCACGGUAUCACGUCUUUCGCAACACCAAUCCGACCGGACGCUGCACUACUACUAGUAAGAGUGCAAUAGCGGCCACUGGUGUGCCACCGGCGUCUUCCUCAGUUGUUCCUGCUCCCCCAGCACCCGCUCCUCGUCGCGCCGCCGCCCAGCUGUCUGCGGCGGCAUCGCCGUCUAGCACGCCCCAGUCGAUACAGCAUCGCAGCCCUGUCCACACGCUCACGAAUGCCAGCGGUCAUUCCGAUAACGCCGGCGGGGCCGGCGCAGAGUCGGACGGUGCCGGUGGCCGGCCCUCCGCGUCCUCACCGUUUCGCCCGUGGCAUUGAUUGCGAGAGAGAGAGAGGACGACAGAGAGAAGGGGCAAAAUGCGUGUACAUCAUUGUAGUGUGAUUGUAAGGCAUUGAGGCGGCCGGGAUGCCCCGCAUGGAGGUGCGCUCGCGCUUGCUGAGGAUGCGAGGGGCGGGCGAGGGGCUGGUGCACCGAUGUGGCGCCCGCCUCUGUGCCUGUACCUGUGCCUGGUCGUCUUUUGCUCCGUACGAGUGAUUGUUAGACUAGAAGAGGAAAAGCGAGAAGAGGCUGUGUGUGAGCACCCGUGGCACGAGCAGCAGCAGCAGCAGCAGCAGCAGCAGCAGCGGAGGAGGAGAGGGGUGGUGAUGGUGGUAGAAUGCUUCUCUGCCGGCGCUGCUGCUGCUGCUGCUGCUGGCCAAGGUAUCCUUGUAUGGCGACGGCAAGGUACAUUGUGGCUUGACGCCUGCCUUUUUUUUCUGCCUUUGUGGCUCUACGCCGCAUACUCGACACUCCCACACAAGCACCCACGCUCACAUGCACCAACAACCAGAAAACAGCGCCAAAGGCCAUCGUGCGGCUGCUCUCUGUCUGCCUCCCUCUCUGAGUGACAGAAAAGACACAAGCAGCAACAACGGGCACACGCACCGGCUGAGAGCGGCGGUGUCAAGAAGGAAAUGACACAUCCGCUGUCCGCCCUUGCAUGAGGUGCUCGAGAGAGAGGGAGAAAGAAAGGGAGCGCACGUGCAAGCGCCUACUGCUGCGCCUCCCUCGCUGCCCCUCAUACGUGCGCGGAUAUGAUGGUCUUCACCGAUGUGUGUAUGCGUGCGCGCCGCUUCUCUGGCGUGUACUCUCCCUCCAUUUGCUCUACUUCUGCUGCUGUGGUGAAGCAUAGGCUCGCCUGUCAUUGGCGCCUCCCUUUCCCCAAUCUUUCAUCAGGGAACUGCGCGCAAGAAGAUCAAGGCGGGAAAGUAGAGCACACAUGCGCAAGUGCGCGCUCAGAUGCGUCCCUCUUCCACCCUACUCCCCCCUUUCUCUUCUCUCUUCAUCUUUUUUUUUGUAUAUGGCACUCUACUCAUGUGUGUGCUUGCUGGCGUUUGCUUUCCCGCCACACUUGCCGGCCUGCGUCUGAACCGUCACCUGCCUGGGUUAG
rnacentral:misc_RNA from 1 species